rnacentral:lncRNA from 1 species
GGGUGAAUUGGUGAGUUUUCAAAAUCAGAGUCUUUUUGCAAUCUUUAAUGCAAAACACAGUCUUUCUUGAAGUGCAAGUAAUUGAAAAUUCUAUGCAGCGGAAAAACAAAGUAGACUACGCAAAUAUCACAGUCGACUGAAAAUAAAAGAGUAUGGAUAGAAAGAUCAAACACAGAUUUUUAUACUGGUUCAGCCUCAAUGCCUACAUCCAGUGUCCUUCCAAUACCAGGAAGCAACUGCACUAUAACGGUCAUGGUUUUUGCAACAAGGAAUUUAUAGAAGACCUCCACGUCAAAAAUAUAAAUCUCCUCUCUAACCCUCUAACCAAAAUAUAGCCAAUACACAACACGACUUGCAGCAAGUGAUAAAGGUUGAAAAACAGCUAUUUUCAUAUAUCAUUUUAGACCAAAUUACACCCUUUAAGGCUAAGAAUGAGCUUAGAAUCAAGCAAAACUCAAUAAAUGAGUCAGUUGAGAGUCAAAAGUUGUUUCUAGCGAUAUUAUGCUUGUUUUGUAUUGUUUUGCAGCACUUUUGAGGAAAGUGAAGAUUGGAGCAGAAAGUGAAGGUCUUAGACUUGAGAUUGAAGAAGAAAAUUGAAGAAAAGAAGAGUCUAGGAACCGCCCGGUGACAAGGGUUCAUCGUUGGGCGGUCCAGUGCGAGGAAUUGGUACCAGG